rnacentral:rRNA from 1 species
AGAAUCAACGCUGGCGGCGUGCCUAACACAUGCAAGUCGAACGAGAAAGUGGAGCAAUCCAUGAGUACAGUGGCGUACGGGUGAGUAACACGUGACUAACCUACCCUCGAGUGGGGAAUAACCUCGGGAAACCGGGGCUAAUACCGCAUAACAUCUUCGGAUCAAAUGCGUAAGCAGCUUGAGGAGGGGGUCGCGGCCGAUUAGCUAGUUGGCGGGGUAAUGGCCCACCAAGGCAAUGAUCGGUAGCCGGCCUGAGAGGGCGCACGGCCACACUGGAACUAAAACACGGUCCAGACUCCUACGGGAGGCAGCAGUGGGGAAUUUUGCGCAAUGGGGGAAACCCUGACGCAGCAACGCCGCGUGGAGGAUGAAGCCCCUUGGGGUGUAAACUCCUUUCGAUCGGGACGAUUAUGACGGUACCGGAUGAAGAAGCACCGGCUAACUCUGCGCCAGCAGCCGC